GCGCACUAGCGCGAAAGCCUAUUCGUCUAAGGGCGUUAGGCUCGCGCAGGAGUUUGAUUGCUGGGAGAGGAAGGAACGAUCUCUCAAAUUGGAUUCGGAGUCGGGUGACUAGUGGUGCGGUGGACAAAGGCCAGUCACUGAACACCAACCCAAUCGAGAUGAGAAUCAGUACACGGAACUCGAUCAAUCCACGAAGGGUUCACCCUCUGCUAGCAGCUUUCUUCUCUUACGAUAUCUCGACGUCGCAUCAACAGGAAAGAGCCAAGCAAGGGUUACGAGAGAGCAGCUUCUAUUGUAUCAAGCACUGGAG
rnacentral:misc_RNA from 1 species